rnacentral:lncRNA from 1 species
UGUGUGUGUGUGUGUGUGUGUGUGUGUGUGUUCCCACAUGUGCUAAUACUUAGGGUGUGCAUCCUACAUGUGUUUGCAGAGACCAGAAGAUGUCUGCUUUUCUUUACUGGUCUUCACCUUAUAUUUGAGACAGGUCCUCUCAACUGAAUCUGGAGUUUCCCCUUUCAACUAGGUUGGCUAGCCAACAGGCAUGAGACCUGCCUGUUUCCAGUAACUGGUGCUAGGAUUACAGGAUGCAUGGUGCUUUGUGUUUGAAUUCAGAUCCUCUUGCUUUUACAGGAAGUGUUCUUACCAACUGGUUCACCUCCCCAGCCUCUACAGAUUCUCAGAAGAUUCUGUUGUUUGAAAUCAUGAACAAUCAUUAAAUUAUUUCUCUGAUAUUUGUCAGGCUCAUUGGAUUUUAUUAUGAUUUAUUACUUGUUGGAGUUCAGAGUUUUAAGUUUAAGUCUUGAUGUAUUUGGGUGUAGUUAUUCUUCUGGAUUGCACUCAGUGAUCUGUUUGAUUAAUAUGACCUGACCUUCCGAACCAUCCAAACACAUAGGCAUGUUGUAAUCGUUAGAGAAUCUACUAUUUGUUGCCAGAGGCCGUGUCCUUACACUUAGUACAGCAUCUUCAUACGUGUGGAUUACUUUGCCUAUAUUUUGAUAUUUUACUGACAAAUCAACUUCUGAGUUUAUAAUUCUGAGAUUAAGUGAAUAAGAUCAAAGUUACCAAAUGAGUAAGCAGUUUAGGAGAAUUUACCAAGACAGUACAUUUUAUUUCUGACCUUUGUUUUGAAAUUUUGAUAGCAUUGAAAAGUCAGUGUGGAAACAAACUUUCUCGAGUUAUUUGUAUACAACAGGGAAUGAGUUUAUGGGAUGGGCUGCCCUCUAACUUGCUAAAAAGCUAAGAUUGACAACUGCUUUCAUACUGCAUUAUCUAGCUUGGCUUUUAGCUCUAAGAGAACUGUGUUCACAAAUUGAUGUGCUUUUCCUUUGGGGUUGGUAUAGAAGCAUUAAAUUGUACUAAAAUAUUCAUAUGUGAGUGCAUUUGGCUGAAAGCAAUUGAUGUUCUGUCCCCAAGAGGACAAAGAGAAAUGCUGUGUGGACCCGCAGUCCAGAAAACACCCUAAGCAUGCUUCUUAAAAGGUAAUUACAAGGCCUAGAUGAUCAAAGCCCUUACAAGGAAGCUUAAGUGACAAAGAGAAGGUGCAGCAUUUGUAGGUUGUGGUUUGCAUGUAUACGUUGUUCAGUUGUGCAGUUGCCAAAAAUUAGUAGUUCUAUUUAUAUCUUUGGUUUAUUUUCUCAGCUAAAAUUUAUCAGGCUGACUUCUUUACAGUUAUUCCAGAAUGCUUGGAUUAGUGGGAUUUUUUUUCCCAUGACUACUUUAUUAUAAAAAAUCAAACUAUUUAAAUUUCAAAGACUAUUAUAUGUAUUCAUUUCCCCCUUUCUGUCCCAUUUAUCUGCUUAAAAGCUACUGAAUGAUAGAUUGACAUGUCUUGUACAUAGUCAACCUAAUUUAACAGCUGACAUGAAAAUCAAUUAGAGUAGAUAGCAAAUCUACUUAAGCCAUCUUGAAAUGAUAACCUGAAAGGGAUAAAACUUGUAAAUUUCCAUUCUGAAAACCAACACAGUAUAGUUUGUGGUCUUUCAUAUAAAAAUGAAUUUAUUUUUUGUGUAUGACUUCAAGUUAAUAUUUAUGUAUUUGAAUGUCAAAGAAUAAGACGCUGUACCAGAUAGAAGUACAGCCAAUGGAUUUAGUACAUUCAGUAUUCAGAUUUGCUUUGAGGCCAAAGAAAUACACACACACACACACACACACACACACACACACACACACACACACACACAGUUUAAAGACAAGUAUGGUGCCAUACCCCUGUAGUGCCAUACCCUCACUUAGGAGACAGAGGCAGAUUCAAGAUUCAGAUACUCAAGGCAAAUUCAGGAUGCAUAGAGCCAGGUUAGCCGUGUCAUAGAGCAAGAGCAAGACCCUGUUUCAGGAAACCAAACUG